GACGAACGCUGGCGGCGUGCUUAACACAUGCAAGUCGAACGGAAAGGCCCUGCUUUUGUGGGGGGCUAGAGUGGCGAACGGGGGAGUAACACGUGAGUAACCUGCCCUUGACUUUGGGAUAACUUCAGGAAACUGGGGCUAAUACCGGAUAGGAGCUCCUGCUGCAUGGUGGGGGUUGGACAGUUUCGGCGGUUGGUGAUGGACUCGCGGCUUAUCAGCUUGCUUGUGGGGUAGUGGAUUACCAAGGCUGUGACGGGUAGCCGGCCUGAGAGGGUGACCGGCCAGACUGGGACUGAGAGACGGCCCAGACUCCUACGGGAGGCAGCAGUGGGGAAUAUUGCACCAUGGGCGGACGCCUGAUGCAGCAACGCCGCGUGCGGGAUGACGGCCUUCGGGUUGUAAACCGCUUUCGCCUGUGACGAAGCGUGAGUGACGGUAAUUGGUAAAGAAGCACCGGCUAACUACGUG
rnacentral:rRNA from 1 species